ACCCAAAAAUUCGGUGACGCACUCGAAACGUUUUGGAUGAAGAUCUCAGCGGCAUUCCUCUCCAAAUAGCGACACUUUUGUAUCCGAGACUCGGCGUUUUUCGUUGACGGCGAUUGCACUGAUUGGAAUCAUAGCUUGAUUUCACCAUCUUCCUAUAUAUGAUCAUUUGUGCCUAGUAGCACCGUCCCAAAUCCAAUCAAUGAGACACCUGCCGGAGGAAACCCAUCCAUAAUCCAGCAUGAUUUCUUCAUGCACGAUCCCUCCUAUACCUAAAGAACAUAAUUUUUUUUGACCCCAAAUAUCUGAUUGCUUAGAUUUUGUCACCGGAAUUUUCAUGCCAUAUUCCACGAUCUAUUGUUCUUGCCACUCGAUUCUCGCUCAGUUUCCUUGACCUUGUGAAAACCUAAAUCCUAAAUCUCUAAACCCUAAACCCUAAAUCUCUUAAAAGAUCUUUUUUCAUCAUCCUAACCUUCAAGUCAGAUCUGGGUUCUUUUCCAUUGAAUGGCUGUUUCAACGGGGCCUGCGCUUGGUAGUGGAAGUGGAUGAGAUCAUAACCUACCAUUUGUUGAGGAAGUUUAGGGGUGAAGUGCUCUGCCUUGGAAUGGUGGUGCCCAGGAGUCUAUUUUUUAUGAUGAAAAGGCUCCUAUCCUAGCUAGGAAAACCAGGGCUGAUUUGGAGAACCUUUACGUUUGAACAAAGCUAAAGAAACCGAGAAAAAAUCAAUUGGCAAGGACAGGAGUUUGUGGCACCUGGCAUGAAAAAUGAAAAUACUUGUGACAAAGUCUAUGAUAUUAUUAAGAGCGAGAAUGUUAUUGGGUUCAAGAAUUCUUUUCUUCCACGGUAAAGGAGGGAUCGUGUAUGAAGAAAUCUAGCUGGAUUAUGUACGAGUUCUGUCUUGGCGGUGUUUCAUUGAUUGGGUAGCAAGAAAAGUGCAACAACUUGCUUCUAUGUGCUAUUCAAAAGAAAUUAUCAGAUACAGGAUGAGUAAGAUUUUUAGAAAAUCAGUCUUUAUUGCCAUAGGAUUUGAGGCUC